GGAAAGCAGACCAAAGACGGUGAAAGUCCGGUAGACGAAAUUUUGAGCCAGCUGACAGAAUCCAGAGUACCACGGGACACGAGAAACCCUGUGGGAAGCCGGGGGGACCACCCCCCAAGGCUAAAUACUCCUGACUGACCGAUAGUGAACCAGUACUGUGAAGGAAAGGUGAAAAGAACCCCGGGAGGGGAGUGAAAGAGAACCUGAAACCUUGUGCUUACAAACAGUCAGAGGGCUUUGUGCCUGAUGGCGUACUUUUUGUAGAACGGUCCGGCGAGUUACUAAUGCUAGCAAGGUUAAGUGGUCAGAAGCCACGGAGCCGAAGGGAAACCAAGUCUGAAUAGGGCGUAUAGUUAGUAUUAGUAGACCCGAAACCGGGUGACCUAUCCAUGUCCAGGUUGAAGGAGCCGUAAAAGGCUUUGGAGGACCGAACACACAUCUGUUGAAAAAGGUGGUGAUGAGGUGUGGAUAGCGGAGAAAUUCCAAUCGAACCCGGAGAUAGCUGGUUCUCCUCGAAAUAGCUUUAGGGCUAGCCUCGAGAGGAGUCUAACGGAGGUAAAGCACUGAACUGACGCGGGGCCCAAAAAGGUUACCAACUCAUAUCAAACUAAGAAUGCCGUAGAGAUACCCUCGGGAGUCAGUCUGCGUGAGAUAAGUCGCGUGGACAAAAGGGAAAGAGCCCAGACCUACAGCUAAGGUCCCAAAGUGCGUGUUAAGUGGAAAAGGAUGUGGGAUUUCACAGACAACUAGGAUGUUGGCUUAGAAGCAGCCACUCAUUUAAAGAGUGCGUAAUAGCUCACUAGUCGAGAAAACCUGCGCCGAAAAUGUAACGGGGCUAAAACACGUCACCGAAGCUACGGAUUUCCUACGAAGAGUAGGAAGUGGUAGAGGAGCAUCCUGCAAGGACGAAGCCAAAGUGAAAACAAUGGUGGACGAAACAGGAGAGAGAAUGCCGGAAUGAGUAGCGAGAUACAUGUGAGAAACAUGUAGGCCGAAUAUCUAAGGUUUCCUGAGUAAAGCUAAUCUUCUCAGGGUUAGUCGGGGCCUAAGGCGAGGUCGAAAGACGUAGUCGAUGGACAACAGGUUGAUAUUCCUGUACUACGUAUAAUCAGAACUGUGGGGACGCAGGAGGAUAGGAAAACCGGGGAAUGGAAAUACCCGGCUAAGCACAAAGUCAAGGGAGAUAGGCAAAUCCGUUUCCUGAUGAUGAAGUGCGAUGGGGACUGAAAAAAAGUAGGGAAGUUUCCGAAUCCACACUGCCAAGAAAAGCCGCUAUUGUAUUAUGCGUACCCGUACCGUAAACCGACACAGGUAGAUGAGGAGAAAAUCCACAGGCCGACGGGAGAAGUGUUGUUAAGGAACUCGGCAAAAUAACCCCGUAACUUAGGGAUAAGGGGAGCCACGAAAGUGGCCGCAGAAAAGAGGCUCAAGCGACUGUUUAGCAAAAACAUAGGUCUAUGCGAAACCGUAAGGUGAUGUAUAUGGGCUGACACCUGCCCGGUGCUGGAAGGUUAAGAGGAGAGGUUAGCGUAAGCGAAGCUUUGAAUUCAAGCCCCAGUAAACGGCGGCCGUAACUAUAACGGUCCUAAGGUAGCGAAAUUCCUUGUCAGGUAAGUUCUGACCCGCACGAAAGGUGUAACGAUUUGAGCACUGUCUCGACAACACGCCCGGUGAAAUUGAAGAACCAGUGAAGAUACUGGUUACCCGCAACAGGACGGAAAGACCCCAUGGAGCUUUACUGCAGCCUGAUACUGGGAUUCGAUGAUAUAUGUACAGGAUAGGAGGGAGGCUAUGAAGCCAGGACGCUAGUCUUGGUGGAGCCGCCGGUGGGAUACCUCUCUUAUGUCAUUGGAUUUCUAACCCAUGUCCAUUAUCUGGAUAGGGGACAAUGUCAGGCGGGCAGUUUGACUGGGGCGGUCGCCUCCUAAAAGGUAACGGAGGCGCUCGAAGGUCACCUCAGAAUGAUUGGAAACCAUUCAAAGAGUGUAAAGGCAAAAGGUGGCUUGACUGCGACAGCGACGGCUGGAGCAGGUACGAAAGUAGGACUUAGUGAUCCGGUGGUAAUAAGUGGGAAUGCCAUCGCUCAACGGAUAAAAGCUACCCUGGGGAUAACAGGCUUAUCUCCCCCAAGAGUUCACAUCGACGGGGAGGUUUGGCACCUCGAUGUCGGCUCAUCGCAUCCUGGGGCUGAAGUAGGUCCCAAGGGUUGGGCUGUUCGCCCAUUAAAGCGGUACGCGAGCUGGGUUCAGAACGUCGUGAGACAGUUCGGUCCCUA
rnacentral:rRNA from 1 species